GUGGUUGCGGGCCUCGUUAGGGGUGUGCGGUGCUGUAUAAAUUCUAAAGUGCCAUUUCCCCACUGGGCAUCCUGCUCUUAGUCCCCCUCUAUGUACCUGCCCUCGGGCCCCGGUAAUUUUGGAGGCCCCCCCUGGGGCCUGCCUCGGCCUUCUCCCCCAACCUAGUAUUUCCACCUCCUCUCCUCCCAUAUUCCAGGAUGAGGUUCCCUAAGAACUACUGGGUUUCAGCCUCCUCGGGAAGCCUGGUCACUCAUCAACAUCUGAAAUGAGCUGAUAUCCUGAUUUAUGGUUUAUGCUCCAUCUCUCCUGUCAGAACGAAGUUUCCAGUAGGGCAGGGACCUUGCCUGCCUUGUUCCCUGAUGGGCCAUGUCUCACACAUGGCACACGGCAAGAGGCGUCCCAUGGGUAUUCAAUGAGGAGGGGCACUGUGUGCCUGUGAGACGCGGUGGGAGAGAAGUUGACUCUGGUGUCCUUUCUGCUUUUUGAAUUUUGAACCAUCAGGGACUGCCCUGGUGGAGGGAACAGGACCUCCUGCGGGGGUAGCCCAGCCAGCCUCGACCUUGACCUCGACGAUGAGGCUCUGGAUGUUGACAUUGGCCAGGGUCUUUGCCAACAAGCUCUUCCAGAAAGGUCCAACCUUUAUACCUGCUGCUUUAAGGAGGGCAUUGGUCUUAUCCUCUGUGACUGUCACCUAUCUCAUCAUUGGGCAGGAUGAGGGCUGGGCCGAGCAGAUGCAGGCCAGCUCUGAGCCGGAGACCUUGGUGUGGGGGAGUGCUGAGCGGGCGCUGCUGGGCGGGGCUCCUUGCUGCUGGGUCAGGUGAGGGCCUCACCCCAAAGCGACCGUAGCUUUUUUGGAAGGACCAAGCACCUUAGCAGCAGCUGGGGAAAGGGCCAGGGUCCUCUACUUUUAACCCCAGCUGUGUGUCGGGCCUCUUAUACAUCAUCUGAUGUGAUCUCAGGCCCCCAUUUCACAGGUGAGGAAACUGAUGCUCGGGGAGGUUAUGUAACAUUUGCCCGGUCAUUCAGAAGCAGGAUUUGAAUGCUGGCCUGCUCGGCUUUGGAACUCGUGGCUUCCCCUCCCCACUUCUCUGUAUCUCUGCUGAAGAUGUGCCCUUCAGGCUGGGCACGAAAUGAUCAAAGGCCCCAGAGCCAAGAGCCACGAUCUCCUGGCAACACGGGCUGCCUUCGACAGCCUGUUCCACCAUGUUCUGCGCCGGGGUGGGAAGACGCGGGUCCUCCCUCUCUGCAGUCUUUCCCUCCUCUCCUGCUCUCAUUCUGAGGCCUCAUUUCCCCAUCUGCUCCCAGUCUCCUUCCGGCCUCUCUCUGGCCCCGAUCCCAGCUCCCACCAAGGUAUUUGCCAGGAAUUUGGGGGUGGGGUAGGUCUGAGCUCCCCCUUCUACCAGUCCCCUCCCCUGCUUGGAUGCAGGAGGCAGAGGUGGCCCUGUUGCCUGGGGAGACGGAUGCCAUCUCUGACCCCCAGCAGCCCGUCUGACCCCCUCCCUGCCCUCGACCCCCCGGAGCCGUCACCAGGAGGAGGCCUGGGUAAUUGGUUCCAUCCAAGAUUCAUCCUCAAUGGUGCGAAAGGGAAAGUUAUAAAUAUUUUUAUCUAUAACUCACGACGAAUAAAAAUUU